rnacentral:rRNA from 1 species
GACGAACGCUGGCGGCGUGCCUAAUACAUGCAAGUCGAACGGUCUUUUCUAUGGAAGCUUGCUUCCGCUGAGAAGAUAGUGGCGAACGGGUGAGUAACACGUGGGUAACCUGCCCAUAAGAGGGGGAUAACAUCCGGAAACGGGUGCUAAUACCGCAUAGGUUUCUUGGUCGCAUGAUCGAGAAAGGAAAGACGGCCUUUGUGCUGUCGCUUAUGGAUGGACCCGCGGCGUAUUAGUUAGUUGGUGAGGUAAUGGCUCACCAAGACGAUGAUACGUAGCCGACCUGAGAGGGUGAUCGGCCACAUUGGGACUGAGACACGGCCCAA